UACGGGGGGCGCAAGCGUUGUUCGGAUUUAUUGGGCGUAAAGAGCUCGUAGGCGGCUUGUCGCGUCGUUCGUGAAAACCCGGGGCUCAACUCCGGGCUUGCGGGCGAUACGGGCAGGCUAGAGUUCGGUAGGGGAGACUGGAAUUCCUGGUGUAGCGGUGAAAUGCGCAGAUAUCAGGAGGAACACCGGUGGCGAAGGCGGGUCUCUGGGCCGAUACUGACGCUGAGGAGCGAAAGCGUGGGGAGCGAACAGG
rnacentral:rRNA from 1 species